CCCGCCCAACGCUGCUUGCAGCUUUAAUUUUUUAUUUACUUCCCUUACACAUUACUGUUGGCUGCAAAAACAUCUGACAUAACCUGUUUUUAAUAUUCCAGUCAUUUACAAGGCAGCGUGUAUUUCAUGAAGUCGUGGGCCAAGACACACCUGAUUCUGAUCUACAAUCACACGCCGUGCAUCCACCUAUCUUCAGCCAUGUUAUAGGAGAGGCCAAAAACCCAAUCCCCUCUGGAUUAUUGAGUGAUCUCGUGAACUUGUUGUUGAAAACUCUGAUUUUUUGAUUACCUGCCUGUUUGCCUGCUUUGCUCUCUCCAACAGACUUUUCUUUUUGCCGCUGCCUUUUAAUAAAUCAAAUGUAUGUAAUGCUUUGCAUUAAUAGUUUACACUGCACUUUCACUUUUAUUCUUUUUAUCUUGUUUGUGUUUUCUGUUUAACUCUUUAAAAUUGUAUUAAGUGUUUUUUAUAUUACCCGAUGUUGCUUUUGUGUUUUUUGUAAAGGAUUUUCAAUUGCAUGGUUGAAAUGUGUUAUACAAAGAACCUUGACUUACCUUUCUCUAAUACUUUUGAAAAAAAGAUGCUUUGCUGCUAAUUGUGUUAUAGGACUGAAAGAAGAACGAAGUCAAGUCAUGUCAUGAAAAAUUUCUUUGUGCCCUUCCUUCUUUGCACCUGCAGGUUUACAGUAAGCAGAUCACCUUUAUCUUUAAUCUCAGCAGUAAUGUGCCUAGAUACCAACAAUAACUCCCUUAUUCAUAAAGCAACCUGUAUUUGGCUCAUAAAUUAUGAAAUUAUGUGAGUCGGAGCAGUCCAGGCGCCAUAAAAAAAAAAAAAAGUUUCCAUGUUCACAAAUACAAACGUUUGAGGGGGUUUGGUCCGUCUGGGAAAUCAAAAAUAAAUUUAAACCUGUAUUCCCUU